GACGAACGCUGGCGGCGUGCUUAACACAUGCAAGUCGAACGGAAAGGCCCUGCUUUUGUGGGGUGCUCGGGUGGCGAACGGGUGAGUAACACGUGAGUAACCUGCCCUUGACUUUGGGAUAACUUCAGGAAACUGGGGCUAAUACCGGAUAGGAGCUCCUGCUGCAUGGUGGGGGUUGGAAAGUUUCGGCGGUUGGGGAUGGACUCGCGGCUUAUCAGCUUGUUGGUGGGGUAGUGGCUUACCAAGGCUUUGACGGGUAGCCGGCCUGAGAGGGUGACCGGCCACAUUGGGACUGAGAUACGGCCCAGACGCCUACGGGAGGCAGCAGUGGGGAAUCUUGCACAAUGAGCGGAAGCCUGAUGCAGCGACGCCGCGUGCGGGAUGACGGCCUUCGGGUUGUAAACCGCUUUCGCCUGUGACGAAGCGUGAGUGACGGUAAUGGGUAAAGAAGCACCGGCUAACUACGUG
rnacentral:rRNA from 1 species